CUCUAUUCUGCCUUGGUCAGACCACACCUGGAAUACUGUGUCCAAUUCUGGGCACCGCAAUUGAAGGGAGACGUUGACAAGCUGGAAUGUGUCCAGAGGAGGGCAACUAAAAUGAUUAAGGGUCUGGAGAACAAGCCCUAUGAGGAGCGGCUUAAAGAGCUGGGCAUGUUUAGCCUGCAGAAGAGAAGGUUGAGAGGAGACAUGAUAGCCAUGUACAAAUACGUGAAGGGAAGUCAUAGGGAGGAGGGAGCAAGCAUGUUUUCUGCUGCCCUGGAGACUAGGACACGGAACAAUGGCUUCAGACUACAGGAAAGGAGAUUCCACCUGAACAUCAGGAAGAACUUCCUCACUGUGAGAGCUGUUCGACAGUGGAACUCUCUACCCCAGACUGUGGUGGAGGCUCCUUCUUUGGAGGCUUUUAAACAGAGGCUGGAUGGCCAUCUGUCGGGGGUGCUUUGAAUGCAAUUUCCUGCUUCUUGGCAGGGGGUUGGAUUGGAUGGCCCAUGAGGUCUCUUCCAACUCUACUAUUCUAUGAUUCUAUUAUUCUAGUCAUAAACUCAUUCUUUCUCGAAGUGUCGCAGUCCCGCACCAUGUAAGUGCAAGGUCAUUAACCAGAGCACCCUCUGCCAUUCACAGAUCUCUUUGUGGAAAUAUCAACCAAUUAUUGUUGCCCAUCCAAGCACACAGCAUCACAAGGGGCCUUUCUGAGGUCAGACACCUGAGCAUAAAGCAGUUGGUUACAGAAAAAUGGGGGGGGGGGGGGGGGUUAGAAUGACGCAUGUAUACAUCCAAAUGACAUUUUGAAAGACUUGAUAUUAUUUCCAUCUAUAUGCAGUUGGACACUGCCUUUUACAAGAUUACCAUUCUGAUUGAAGCAUGAGAAGUGUUUUAUGUUGUAUUACUUUUGUUUCACUCGGUUUUCAAUAUGACAGUGAGAUGACCUCAAGUGAAGAGAUUUCAAAGGUACAGUGGAGUCUCACUUAUCCAAGCUAAACGGGCCAGCAGAAGCUUGGAUAAGGGAAUAUCUUGGAUUAUAAGGACAAAUUAAGGAAAAGCCUAUUAAACAUCAAAUUAGGUUAUGAUUUUACAAAUUAAGCACCAAAACAUCAUGUUUUACAACAAAUUUGACAGAAAAAGUAGUUCAAUACGCAAUAAUGUUAUGUUGUAAUUACUGUAUUUACAAAUUUAGCAUCAAAAUAUCAUGAUUUAUUGAAAACAUUGACUACAAAAAUGGCUUGGAUAAUCCAGAGGCUUGGAUAAGCGAGGCUUGGAUAAGUGAGCCUAUACUGUAAUUCUCAAGAAAAAAAUGUGUUAAAUAAGGUGGAUUUAUUUUUUUUAUUUUAAAUGAAAGGACAAAAAAGUAGAAAGAGACAUUCUAAAGUGCCACAGAUUUUUCAGCCUUAGAUUCAAGGCAAAGCUCAAGGCAAUGUACUUUGAGAUCCAGGGUUUGAAGUACUGUGCAGUAAUCUACAGAGUGAUUUUGUUAAUUUCAAUAUAUAUUAUCUGAGGUCAUACUGAAAUUCUGUAUUUCUAACACAUUUCCCAGAAUCUCCUAUCUAGUAUGGCUUAAUGACCAAGGUGGCUUGGGGGAAAAGUGGAAAUUAUUACCAAUUUUCUCCCCAAGAAGUGUCGGCACCUUGUAAUAUAUCUCUCUCUAACAUUCUGAACCAAGUAAAAGACCUCUCCAUUCAUACAUCCUGCUCAUAACUUUUUCGGAUUUCCCAGGGUUUUACCCCCACAUUGGUUUUCAGUUGCUGAGCUUACCCUGGACCAUGUAAAUCAUUAUACAAAAGGGAGGCGCAUAUGCACAUACACACUAAAAAUCUCAUAGUGAGGAGCAUGGCCUCAGUUGGGCUGGUGGUUAUUCUUUGGGACCAAUUGUGCCUCACAACUCAUCCCCUCGCUCCUAUUGGUUAGUCUAAAAACAGUCAUGUGCCUUGAAAUGCAGCUAGGUGAAGCCACUAGACACUGAAAGGCUGGUCAUGACUAUAACCAGGGGACGUGGGUGAAGACUGCAAAGUAGUUGUGAAAGUCCUCCUUGGUAGCCUGUGCUCAGGUUUCCUUGGGGGUUGAAAAAGGCAGCCAUUGCAGAUAAUCUGGGAAUGCAGGCCAAAUACUUCUUGUAUCACCUCAAGAAGAAGGGGAAAUGGUUGCUCCACACCCAGACCUCAGCUUGACCAUCAGAGUCCCAACCUCAGAGAAAGGUUAUGGGAUUCUCCCACCUUCAGCACAAGCAUUGGACACCAACCUUUUCAAUGCCACUCCAGUUCUGCCCACGUUCAGCUCAGAAAAGGACCUCUCUUCUUCAAAUCCCCCCACAAUUCGGGGUCUAAAGAACAUGAAUUCAGCUCUUUCACAGAAUAAUACCUCCACGCCAAGCUUCCUCAAUGAUGAUGCAACUGACUUGAAAACAGCAAGUUUCGUGGGGCCGCAACAUUCAGAUCAAGACAGCCAAGUACCAGAGUCCUGCUCUUGCCUUCUUUUAUCCACACUGGGGAACAGGGAUAGUACCUGUAUUAUCUUUCCUGAAGAUUCCCUUCCACUAGCCAAAUCAUCUUUUUUCUUGAAUAUGGCUGUAAAACAGGCAGAAGGGAGGAGGAAAGACAUGGAGCGGCAGCUGUCUAGCAUGGCGGCUAGGUUGAAAGCCAUACAGGAACAGGAAUGUCUGUGGUUACAAGAGCUGGUACCAGCCAUAUGUCAGGUUCAUUUGGAGCUUGCAGAUAUUGGUCAGAGCCUGGGCCGGCUGGUACAGCCAUUGGGGUCUCAGGCUCUGUCUCCCUUCCCCCCUGUUCUGGAGAAGAUGGGCAGGAAAGCAAAGGAGAGCAAUGCUGAGGGAAAGUCACCAUUCUCCAAAGCAUCUUCACAUCCUUGCCAAGGAUUGCCUGAGGAAAUCUAAACAUAUACAGCUCAGAGCUGUGCUAUAUAUUAAAGACAUGACAGACAGAAUAAUG